AAAAUUCAAAUUUAACACUUCCAUUAGUUGCAAGUCGAUAUAUAAACAACUAUCCACAAUUCAUUUAUUAUGCUAAACGUGUAGUAAGAAAGGAACAAAACAAAGGUCAGAUAACUUAAACUAUGACACAGUAAAUAUAAGCAUUGAUGUUGCAGGGGAGGAUAAUUUCCAUAACAUCAUUUUUGAAGAAAAAUGGAGAAAAUUUUAAAUUAUGCAAUUAUGGCCCGUAAAUUCAAGGACUAUACAUCAAGUUUCACAAAUGCCAAAUGAUAAAUUUAAUAACAAUCUAUCUAUAUUAUAUAUAAAGCAGCAGUUUCAACGGUAAUAUUUUCCCACCAAAUUUUUUACAGUUUUUUUCUUUCAAAAUUUAAAUAAACGUGUGGUCUGUUUUGAUGAAUCCGCGUGUUUAUCUUUCAUCCAAAUCUUCUUUAUCCGAAAAGAUAAUUCUCAUUCUAAAAAAAAAAAAAGAUAAUUCCUCUAUAACUUAAUCAUGAAAAAUUUGAACUAAUAUAGAAAGAAAGAUAAUUUUCCCAAAAGUUCAAUCAACCAAAUACAGGCCGAUUCCAAAGUUGAAACAUCAAAUUAAAGAAAAGGUGCCUGAAAAUUUAGAUUUUCAUUUUCUUUUGUCAAAAAACAACACAAGUAUUCACAUUUUACCUAAAGAUUUCUUCUUGAUUUUUUUUUUCCUUUCUUCAUUUACUCUGCUCUCCAAUCUCGCCAUCCUUGACGAAGCCGACGAUUAAGUCAGGCAACAUUUAUCCAUGCGCUUGAAAAUCAUCGUCUUUGCGAAUAACACCACAUACAGCGACGAAACACUGAAAAUUGUUAACGAAAGAUUGAACACAUUGGCCGAACAAAUCAAUGUGCUGCACAAUUUACUCGACGAUGGGAAAGAUGAAUCCACUGAUAGAGAAGAGAUUAAAAAAAAGAAUAAGAAGAAGAAAUACAGAAAAGAGAAAAAGAUGCAAAAACAAAAUGAAAAGUAAAAACUGAAAAACGCGGCGUCGUUGGAGUAAAAUGAAUUAG
rnacentral:lncRNA from 1 species